UAUUCUUUUUUCUUUGUCUUUGUUGGAUUGGGUUAAUUCAAAGACCUUGUCUUCUAGCUCUGAAUCUUUCUUCUACUUUUUCAAUUCUAUUGCUGAGACUUUCCAGAGCAUUUCACAUUUCUAAAAGUGUGUCCAAAGUUUCCUAAAUUUUUGACAGUUUUUUCUUUAAGCUACCUAGUUUCUUGAAUAUUUCUCCCUUCACUUCUUGUGUCAUUGAGAGACAGAACUAGCUGGAUUUCCUAGGCUAACUAAGAAUCCCUAAGCCUAGCUGGGAAGGUGACCGCUUUUACCUUUAAACCUGGGGCUUGCAACUUAGCUCACACCCGACCAAUCAGGUAGGAAAGAGAGCUCACUAAAACACUAAUUAGGCUAAAACAGGAGAUAAAGAAAUAGCCAAUCAUUUAUCACCUGAGAACACAGUGGGAGGGACAGUGAUCAGGAUAUAAACCCAGGCAUUCGAGCUGGCAACGGCUACCCUCUUUGGGUCCCCUCCCUUUGUAUGGGAGCUCUGUUUUCAUUCUAUUUCACUCUAUUAAAUCUUGCAACUGCAUUCUUCUGGUCCGUGUUUUUUACGACUCGAGCUGAGCUUUUGCUUGCCGUCCACCACUGCUGUUUGCCGCCGUCACAGACCUGCUGCUGACUUCCAUCCCUCCGGAUCCGACAGGGUGUCUGCUGUGCUUCUGAUCCAGCGAGGCGCCCACUGCCACUCCAGAUCAGGCUAAAAGCUUGCCAUUGUUCCUGGAUGGCUAAGUGCCCAGGUUCAUCCUAAUGGAGCUGAACACUAGUCACUGGGUUCCACGGUUCUCUUCCAUGACCCACGGCUUCUAAUAGAGCUAUAACACUCACUGCAUGGCCCAAGAUUCCAUUCCUUGGAAUCCAUGAGGCCAAGAACCCCAGGACCCUUUACUUGUAUUCAUGGGGAGGAAUCUGACCACGCCGUGAGGAGGGACAAGUGACGUGCUGAGGAAUGAGUGUGACCGCUGCGCACAUACCAACUCAGCACCAAAGGGAAGAAUCAGAUGCCUGCACUUUGCACUGCUGUGGAAAAUCUGACUGGGUUUUAAAGCAAGGUCUGAUCACCUUGGCUUGUCUUUAGCAAGAAUCUUGUUGGCACCUGUGAUCCCUGCUACUCCGGAGGCUGAGGCAGGAGAAUCACUUGAACCUGGGAGGCAGAAGCUACAGUGAGAUGAGAUUGCACCACUGCACUCCAGCCUGGGUGACAGAGCGAGACCCUGUCUCAACAAAAAAAAAAAAAAGAAAAAAGAAAAGAGUCUUGUUAUUUUGAUUUAGCCAGAAUCCCCCUUACCUCUGAUGUUUCCUUCUAGUAAUUUUCUAUCCACUGGCUCCAUUCUGGUCCUUGGUUCUAAAUUCCUAUUUGCCCUUGCUAUAUUUAGUGUUAAGCCCAAUUUCUCUGCCCUACUGCAAACUCCCAGUGCAGUGGGCCCUAUACCUAUCUUGAUAG
rnacentral:lncRNA from 10 species